GUGGGGACUCGCUCGCUCACUCACUCUUCUGCAAGCAUGUUUCAGAACCAACAAAUUGCUGUCUUGCUGACGACGGUACAACAACUUCUGGCAGCACAAGCAACGGUGGCCGCACAACAGACCGACUGACACGCCCAAGUGCUGCAGCCCAGCGUGCCUAUGUUCCAUCAACUUAACAACACAGAACAAGAAUGGCAUGAAUACCUGACACAGUUCCAUGUGCAUUGUGCAGUUCACUGCAUCCAAGAUAUUGCACAAUGCAGGCUCCCCAGUGUCCAGAUUCAAAAAAGCAAGAAGCGGGAUAAAAGAAAGCAAGUUUCUCUGCUUAAGUUUCUUCAAGGCAAAAGAUGAAAAAGUGAUAGGGUGGAGGCCAAGUUAAUCAAAAAUAGUGGUGGUGAUAGCUGUCCUUACUGGUAGCAGAUGGGUAAUGGUGUACAUAGUUCCAGGUCAUGUGGUAAUCAUGGUAUUAAUGAUUGUGAGAGCAAUAAGGAGAGAUUGCUAUUGCCUCAGAAGUGAAUUAUAGAUGACAAUGACAUUGUGCUACUGAAACAAACUC